CAAAAAAAACAUUAGUUCCAUAUUUCUCUAUUUAAUUCACGCAUUAUGUAUUUUAGAAGGAUAUAUUACUUUAAAAAUAUUUUAUUUUAAUAUAAUCUUUGAAAAAACCAAAAAUAGUUUCAUAUUUUAUAUAUAAUUUAGUUUAAUUAAUUAGAUUAAUUUUUGCAUUAUGUAAUACAUUUAUCUUAUAUUAAAAGGAACUUAAAUAAGAUUUGGACAUUCAUUUUAGCCCAAUGUUAAAGCCCAAAUUUGAAGCCUAACCUCCCUUACCUUUCACUAACCCAAAGCCCAUAGCGCCAUAAGAUUUUAUAGGAGAGAAAACCCUAGCUGAACCCUAAUUGGACACCCAUGGCUGCCUUCUUCUUCUUCUUGACACCCAAAACCCAAAAAAUCAGCGGCAUCCAACACCCCUCCCAGCCGUGACCCUUACCCAAAAACCUUUCUUCUUUGCGCCACCCAACAAUACCAGCGACCAUACCUUCUUCCUCACCCCCAUCAGCGGCCAUCUCUCUCGCACACAAAACCAGAGGCAGACCACCCCCAAGAAGCAACAACCGCUCUAACAGACAAGAGCAGUGAGAUGAAACGGACAAUAAGAAAAGUCAAGCAGCAGUCUCUUCUCUAUUCACUGCCUUAGCGUUCUUCCUUAUCUCAUUAAUCACCAUUUCAAGUUAAUUCCUCCAAUGCCUUUCUUCUGAUUGGCAAAACCUGCGUGAUUCCUAGACCCGCUAGCGCACAACUUCUCGGGUCUCUAGUUAAUGGGUUGCAUAAAUGUAAGUGGAGGAAUAUAUUAUAGUGCUGGGUUUGUGAAGGUCCAAAUGCUUGAAUUCACGUCAAAUUGAGCAGAAUCGUUUAUGAGAAAUUUUAUUUGGGAAAGAAUUGAGUUAGUUUUCAAUUCGGAGAUCCGUUGAGGGUCGAAGUUUUAUUUUAGCUACUGAUUUGUGGUGCUGUUCGAGGUUAAUUCCGUGGUUCACGGUCCAAGCUCUUGCUACUAUUUCGUUUCCUGGUCAAAUUUGGUUCGCCGAAGUUUGCUAUAACCGAGUUCUUGUUAAUAUAGUUGAGGUCUAAUUCUAAACUCUUCCUCAUUUAUUAUUUCUCAUGUGGAUGUUUUGUGUCUGUUUACUACCGUAUUCUAGUCAUUGUCAUGUGGGUAAUUUGCCUUCUGUGCUUCAUAUUGGUUUGGGUAAUCUUUAUUUUUUUAAGUAUAAGAAAAUGUCCUGCAUAUAUAAAUAUGUGUUGAAGAACAAAACUACUUAACGUGCUAAUGAGUUCAGUUAGAACAUUUUAUCAAUGUGUAUUUGAUUGUUUCACUUAAGCAAGUCGUGAGGCCAGUGUUUGGCAAAAAGAGAUUCUUGUUAAUUGAAAUUAAGUGAAAUAUGAAUUUUGAUCUCAGUUUAUGCAAUAAAAUGGAUUUAACACUAAAUUUAGUAAUGUUUUAUUUUUCAAAUGAUAGAAGCAUGUGUUAGGUCAUUAUUACUUGGGUAGGCAAGUCUUAGGAUUUUUGUUUGGAUUUCGAGGUGAGAGGUCGUUCCCUUUAGUUAAAUUUAUCCGGGGAAUGCCCCGAAGGAUUUGUACAUAUUUUAUUCUGGGGAAGGCCCCGUAGGAUUCUGUAAUUGGAGGCCGUGGCGAACAUCGUAGAAGAAGUAGCAUAGGAUAAUUUAGAACUUUAAUUUUCCUUUUUUUUAAUUUUCUUUCAUUUAGGUGGGGACGACCUCGAGCCUCGUUUGUGUUUAUUUUCCUUUUAUGUGAUUUUACCCCAAUUUGAAUGUUUUUAAAGCCAACUAGAUCGAGUACACAACUGUGACUUUCACGGGACUUGGGGAGUGCCUAACACCUUCUCCCCGAGUCAAAUGAACCUCCUUACCUGAAUCUCUAGUGCAAAUCCAAAGUGUUUUUAAAGGAAAAUCAUUUUUGAAAACGGUGACCUGGCACACCGAAACCAACGUCAGGUGGCGACUCUAAGUUAUUUCCUUUUGAACACAAUUUUGUCACUUUUUAAUUAAAGACCCUUUUGAGCUUUACAAAAUCUUUUUAUUAAUAUAAGAGGGUUUAGUGAAGUUGGUAAAAAAGGGGGUGUGACAGCUCUGGCGACUCUGCUGGAGAGUUGUAGGUUCGAGUUGAUACUUGAUCUUGUUGGCUUUUGGGAUAUUCGGUUGAGGUGUUUUUUUUAUUUGCUUUGUUUAGUUGGUUUGUUUGUCUUAUUUCCCGUUUUGUUGGUUAUUUGUUUAUCGUUUUUUCUUAUGUGUUUACCGCUUUAUAAUUGUCAUCAUUUGCAUAACUAUGAGUCUUCUUUCUGCAACAAGUCUUCCGGAGUACGUUUGAGCGUACACGACCUUUUGUGAGUCACCCGAGUUUUUAGGGGGUGGCAUGGGAGCGUGGAGUGGGCGGACAGCUAGAUCAGCUGUUAUCGACCACGUGCUGCCCCGAAUUGCCUUGUUAGCGAACCCCAAACUUAGGUCAACCUUUAGGUCAUUUUUAUUUGCAUCAUGUCAUUUACACCUAGUAGGGCUCGGUCCCAGGCACCGCGUCCCUUUGUAGGAAGCCUAUCCAAAUUUUUUCAAAAAUGGGCUCGUGUCCCAAAAAGACAUUCAAUCAUCCCUAUGCGAUACAUGUUGCAUUUUUAAGGGUAAAAAGGUCAUUUGGCGGACCGAUGCUUGGGAAAGAAGGGUGAAAAAUAAAGCAAGUAGGGCCCAGUUGUAUUUUUCUUUCACAGCUUUUUAAAAAAAAGACCAAAAAAAAUGAAAAUGGAAAAAAUCCAAAAAAAAAGAUUUUACAAUUUCCCAUCAUUUUCAAAAAAUCAAAGAAAGAAAGAAAAAGAAAAUCCGAAAAGAUUUUACACUUUCCCAUCAUUUUCCAAAAAUUCAAAAAAAAAAAAAAGAAGAGAAAAGAAAAUCCAAAAAGAUUUUAAAUUUUUCAUCAUUUUUCAAAAAGACAAAAAUAUAUUUUUUCCAAAUUAGUGUCAUUUUUUAAGCUUUCUCCCAUGUCCAAUCUUCCCGAACUACGCAUACUUGAUUCUCGUCUUUCGGGGCGGGAUACGCAGGCAGCCCAGAUAGGGUUCACACCUAUCUCGACUACUACCACUCAGGUCUCAUUGUUUGAUCAUUCCUAUCCACCUGGGUUCAGCCUUUAUCCUAACUAUACGGCUACAGUUGGAACUUCUAUUGCAUGCUUCCAAAGUGUGCCAUUGACAACCAAUCAGAUAACCACUACUGUUAUGCCUGUUUUCAGCGUCCCACAACCGACGAUGGUGUAGAGGAAAACUCACGAGUCACAAUUUGCUACCGAGCAAGAACAGUCCCACUCUCCUGAGUACCACUCAUAACUAUUUGAUCUUCCUGCAAAGAUUGAGAAGCCUACCUGAAAGAUAGCACCGAAAGAAAUAACCCAAUGACUGAAAAGCUUAGAACAAUAGUUGAAAAACAUAUAAGGGCUGGCAGGUCAGAAAAGCAUUUCCUUCAAGGAUCUAUGUAUGUUCCCUGAUGUUCGUUUGCCACUUGGUUUCAAGAUUCCCAAAUUUGAAAAAUAUGAUGGACAUGGAGACCCCAUAACCCACCUGAAACGGUAUUGUAAUCAACUAAGAGGUGCGGUAGGAAAUGAAGAAUUACUGAUGGUUUAUUUUGGGGAAAGCCUUACGGGUAUAGCCUCUGAAUGGUUUAUGGGUCAAGAGACAUCUUGCUAGUAUAUCUGGGAUGACAUGGCCCAGGCCUUUGUCAAACAUUUCCAAUAUAACAUUGAUAUUGCCCUGGACUGUAAUUCCCUUUCAAAUCUGAAGAAGAAACCAACUAAACAUUUAAGGGAAUAUGCCAUUAAAUGGAGAGAACAAGCAGCUAAAGUUAAGCCAUCCAUGGAUGACCACGAGCUAAUCACUGUCUUCCUUCAAGCUCAAGAGCUCGAUUACUUUCAAAACAUGAUGUCCGCAGUUGGAAAAUCAUUCUCGGAAGCAAUCAAAAUGGGAGAAAUGGCAGAGAAUGGCCUUAAGACAGGCAAAAUUAUUAGUCAAGCAGCUCUCAGAGCUGCAACUCAGGCUAUCCAAAUUGAAUCUGAUAAUUUUAGUGGCACGAGUGAGAAGGUUGAAGAAAACAUGAUGACAUCAAGGUCGAGAAGAGGUCCUAGAAGAAUAUCUCAAAGGCAUGACCAGCCUCGUUUGUUUUUUGAUGAUUCCCUUGAGAACCCACAAUACUCUGUUACUCCACCCUAGUAUGUUAUCCAGCCACCAAGAUACCCCAGAAGGCGAGCGCCAGCACCGCAAAAUCUCCAUCAGCCUUAUAACCCACAUCCAAGCCAGGAGUAUAGAGGUAAACAAAGGUUGAAAGAUAAUUUUACUCCGAUAGGAGAGUCCUAUGCAAGUUUGUUUGAGAAAUUAAAGUAUUAUGACUUGAUUGCACCUAUUCCUCCGAAUCAUGUGGACCCGCGUGCUAGAAACUUUGACCCUUCUAAAAGGUGUGAAUACCAUUCCAAUGCCCAGGGGCACAAUGUCAAAAGUUGUCAGGAUUUGAAAAGAGAAAUAGAAAGAAUUAUUCAAGAAGGGAUAAUUGUGAUCUAGGGCAGUGACACCUAGAACAUCGCGCAGAAUCCUUUACCUGUACAUGAUGAUGCACACUUUGUGGGGAGUAUGCAUGGUGACAAGGAGUAUAAGAAUCCUCUUGGAAACUUGCUGACUGAAGUUAAUGAUAUUGAGAUUGGUGAAGGUCCCAGUAAUUUUGAUGUGCAACCCAGCGGCUAAGAUGUAGAGCUUGGUGAGUGGAAAGACACUCCUUUCCUGGCUAGCUAGGGAGGAGUUUUGGGGGUUUAUUUUGUUGUUAUUUCCGUUUGUCCGGGUUAUUUUAGGGUUGUAAUCCGGACAUUAUCUUGUUGGCUCAAACCCUUCUGCUUCUUAUUUUCCUAGUUCGUUUAGUGGUAGUAACUUGUCUAGUGUUAUCUAGGAUUGUUCCAGGGUUGUAACCCAUGUCUAUUUUGCUUGUUUUGUUCAAAUCCUUUUCACCAUAUGUCUAAUGCAAUCUCCUAUUUUCUGUUAGUUCUAGUCAGUUUUUGUUUAGGUCACUUUUCCUUUUAUAGUUAUUUUCAUGCUGACUCUAGUGACAUGACAUGCACAAAUAAUUCUCAGUUUGGUCUUGAAAGUUAGUUAAUCAUGAAGCAAUGGCACAGUUUUAAAUAUGAUAAAAAGAUGCAUUUGAGGAAACAAGUAAAGAUUCACGCAUUCUAAGAUAACUUGAAGCUUGAAUUGAGUGAAAUUGAGGCAAUUAGUUUGGGAAAUCAAGAGGUUGAUAAGAGCAUACAACAAGAAAAUGUCUCUCAAGUAGUUUGAGGUAGAUCAGUCAGUGCUGAAAUGUAUUCUUCCACAUCAAGAUAAGGUUGAGUCAAGUCUGCUUCGAAUUGGAAAGAGUCAUUCAUUGGGACAAAGGUAUUGCCCAUUGACACUUUUUGUUUGUGUUGAUGCCAUCAAUAGAUACUAUGUAUGAUUUCUUUGCUCAUCUUUGAUUGCAUGUUUGUACUUGGCAUUCUUAAAGUUUGGUAUGACGAAGACAUUUUAUUCUGCUACCCAAAUACUUUUAUCUUUUGCUACCCCUUUUGAGCCUUAAUUCGUUUUGUUUCAUACCCCUCUUUUGGAAUCAGAAGUAGAGUUAGGAACUAGAAAAUAAAAAGCAAAAGAGAAAAAGAAGAAAAAGACAGGAAAAGAAAAAAAAAGAAAAGAAAAUAAAGGAAAAAAGAAAAUAAAGAAAAGGAAAAGAAAAACAACAAAAUAAUCCAACAUCGUGUUUGAACUACGUUCAACCUGAUUCUUGUCACCACAAGAUACGUAGGCAGCCUUAAGGUUCGGUCGCACCAAAUAAAAUAUUUCAUAAUCUCAUGAAGUCAAGAGUGGGGUAGUAUUUCUUAGAAAUUCCCCUCAAAGCAAAAAUCCAAAAAAAAGAAUUCCCAAACUCCAAGAAACUGGGGCAAAAGUUUUAAUUUUGCCAAAAGGACUGAUUCCAAAAGUUGUAAUUUUGAACCCUUCCAUCUUAAAUUAUUUUGAGCCUUCAUGUCACCCAUUCUUUCCAACCCUGUCCAAAAGCCUACAUUACGAUCCAAGAAAGACCUUCCUACUAAUCUUUGAGGAUGUCAAAUCAAGUGUGUGGUGAAAGUAUGAUCUUCUUGCAUCAUGGUUAAUACUUUUGUUCACAGCACCAAGAGAGAAUGAUAAAAUGAGAGAGUCUUAUCAAUGAAAACCCUCAUGGGCACUGUAAGACGACGGUGGGUUGAGAAAAGAGCAAAAUGAGAGAGGCUUGAUGGUGAAAACCCUUUAGGGCACUACAAGUCAACUGAGGAUUGUGGAUCAAAUAUGACAAUUGGAGCGCUGAAGCCCAGUUUCACAACUUAGAGGCAUAACACGAGUUAAAUAUUAGACUCGCUUGACAGAUCAGGCCGCUUAAUCCAAAAUGCAUGUCAUGGUCAGUGGAGAUAACCUUCAAAUCGUAUUAAUUUCUACUUUGUUCUUUUUCCUCGGUAAAAAUAUUUUCUUGUUAGAUACCAUCUCUUCUCGUUUUUUCCAUUAUUUUGUUCCUCUUGUUUUGUUUGAGUCCCUUUGAGUCUGUUUUUGCCGAAACAAGUGAGAAAUGAUUUCAAAAUCUGCUACUAGCUUUUUAAUCACACAAGUCUCUAGCAAGCAUAUCAAAUUGGCAUAAGACACAGGAGAAUAUUGUGUGCACUGAGUUGGUGAUAGUAAAUGUUCUCUGGGAUUGAUGUGAAAUGCAAAGAUUGGGUGAAUGUUAUAACACGAGUGCAAUGCAUCGGGCAUAAGGUAUUGGAUUUGAAUGAAUCAGGAAUAUAUCUUGUGAUAAGGGUUGUCCGAAAAAGCAGUCAGUCGAUAACAAGCACUGUCUUCCAAGUUGAAGUCCAAGUUGAUCGUGACAAGUGCAAGAGAAAUCGCCCUUGUAGUCAAGGUCACAAACUAGCCACCACAUUUUUAAACUCACAAGUUUUCUUUGUUUGAAACAGGAACAAAACAGUGCAAGCAAGUUGGUUCAAAAACACAAAAAAAACAAAAAGAAAAAAGAAAAAAGAAUAGAAGAGCGGACAAAGGGAAGUUUCUCAAAUCUUUGCCUUUAUCUGUCUUGCUAGUGCGCAUAAAAUGUUGCCAUUGUUCUUCGCAUUUUUCCCUCCUAGGAUAAAAGUCCUAGUCUGAUGAAUUUUCCUCCCAAUCAAACCUUAGUCUAAUGAAUCUUUUUCCUAAGAUAAGAAACCUAGUCUAAUAAAUUUUCUCCUAGGAUAGAAAAUCUUAGUCUCAUGAAUCUUUCUCCUAAAAUAACAAAAAAUGGACUUAGUCUGAUGAACUUUCUCCUAGGAUAUAAAUUUUAGUUUGAUGAAUUUUUCUCCUAAGAUACCAGAAAAAAGAAGAUAAGAGACCUAGUUUGAUGAAUUUUCUCCUAUGGUCGAAAUCUUAGUCUGAUGAAUUUUUCUCCUAGAUAGAAGACCUAGUCUGAUGAACUUUCUCCUAGGAUAUAAAUCUUAGUCUGAUGAAUAUUUCUCCUAAGAUACCAAAAAAAUACCUAGUCUGAUGAAUUUUCUCCUAGGAUAGAAAUCUUUGUCUGAUGAUUUUUUUCCUAAGAUAGAAAGCCUAGUAUGAUGAAUUUUCUCCUAGGAUAGAUCUUUAGUUAUCUUAAGUUAUUAAUCUUUAGUUUUCUUGAAAUCAGGGGUCCCACCUGGAGAAUAGAGUCAGUUUUUACUUUAGUCUAGCUUAGUUUAUAGUUUUCCACAAGCUCAAUCUUAAAUCUAGGAGACGCACUUCCUAGUCUAGGUCAUUCAAGUUUAAUUCUUAGCAGACGCACUUGCUAGUCAAAUAUUCUUGGUUUGAUUCACAGGAGAUGCACAUCCCAGUCAAGUCUUUAGUUUUACUCUCAUAAUUGCAUCAAUAGCAUAGGUGAUUUACAGUUUUGCUAACAACUCACAAAUCUUCCUAGUUCAAACUGGAGCAGAAAAUUUUGUUUGUUUUGUUGUUUUGAUUGCAGGCACCCACCUGGAGAAUGAGGGAAUUAGUUUCGAAAUUAUUUUAAGUUUUGGCAAUCAGGCGCCACCUAGAGAAUAAGGGAACAUAGUUCGAUUUUUGGCAAUCAGGCGCUCACCUGGUUAACAAGGGAAUAUAGUUCAAGUUUUGGAAAUCAGGCGCCCACCAGGAGAAUAAGGGAAUACAAUUCAAGAUUUGGCAAUCAGGCGCCCACCUAGAGAAUAAGAGAAUACAGUUCAAGUCUUGGCAAUCAGGCACCCACCUGGAGAACAAGGGAAUACAGCUCAAGUUUUUGGCAAUCAGGCACUUAUCUGGAGAACAAGGGAAUACAANNN
rnacentral:lncRNA from 1 species